rnacentral:lncRNA from 1 species
GGUCAAUGCAUCUUGUCCUUCUGUUGAAGAAUUAGGCUUUCUACUUAAAGGCCAGUGGUAAAUUCCAGCCAAAUGUCAGCUUCCUGUCAUCCCCAAACAGAUGCAUUUGCUGUUGAUUACUGCAUGGACAUGUACUGGGUACAUUUCUACUUUUCCCCUAAGGCAUACCACAUCAGGCGUAUGGAUGACGUGAAAAGAACAGCUUUAACCAAAGUACCACUGUGAUAGAUAAGCAAGAAUUGGCUGGAAGAUGAAGGAGGGAGGAAGAGAUAUAAACUCCAUUUGGCCUUUGUGCUAGCCCUAAAGCUGCAUGUGUGAAUAGGAAAGAUUAUUCAUCAA